rnacentral:rRNA from 1 species
AUGAUUGCAAAGUUGCCUCCUUCAUGGAGGAAUUUCGCCACAACUCUGAAGCAUAAGAGACAGGAGAUAUCAGUUGAAAAUCUGAUUGCAUCUCUUGAUGUUGAAGAAAAAGCUCGGGCUAAAGAUACCAGUGAAAAAGGAGGUGAGGUUCAGCCUACUGCUAACAUGGUGCAGAGGUACCCACAGAACAAGAACAAAGGGAAGAACAAACCUGUUUUCAACAAGCCUACCAAGACUACUACCUUCAAGAAGAAGAAGUUCAACAAGGCUGAGCUAGAGUGCUACGCCUGUGGGAAGCCUGGACACUUUUCCAAGGAAUGCCCUGAACGUGCAGACCGCAGAGGGAAAACAAGCUCCAAGACUGUCAACAUGGUGACCGCUAGCAAUACUGAUGGGUAUGGUAAUUUACCUAUUGUGCUUUCAGUAUUUCAAUCAUCUUCGUGGUGGAUUGAUUCGGGUGCUAACGUUCAUGUGUGUGCUGACAUCUCCAUGUUUACUUCUUAUCAGGUCGCAAGGGAUUCUUCCGUCCUAAUGGGGAACGGGUCACAUGCUUCUGUUCGUGGGAUUGGCACGGUGGAUCUGAAGUUUACUUCGGGAAAGAUCGUGCAACUAAGAAACGUGCAACAUGUCCCUACUAUGAACAAGAAUCUAGUUAGCGGCUCCCUUCUAUGUCGAGAUGGAUUUAAGGUAGUUUUAGGUCCAAUAAAGUAA